rnacentral:rRNA from 1 species
CCUACGGGAGGCAGCAGUAGGGAAUAUUGCUCAAUGGGGGAAACCCUGAAGCAGCAACGCCGCGUGGAGGAUGAAGGUUUUCGGAUUGUAAACUCCUUUUGUUAGAGAAGAUAAUGACGGUAUCUAACGAAUAAGCACCGGCCAACUCCGUGCCAGCAGCCGCGGUAAUACGGAGGGUGCAAGCGUUACUCGGAAUCACUGGGCGUAAAGAGCGCGUAGGCGGGAUAGCAAGUCAGAUGUGAAAUCCUAUGGCUUAACCAUAGAACUGCAUUUGAAACUGUUAGUCUAGAGUAUGGGAGAGGUAGGUGGAAUUCGUGGUGUAGGGGUGAAAUGCGUAGAGAUCAAGAGGAAUACUGAUUGCGAAGGCGGCCUGCUAGAACAUAACUGACGCUGAUGCGCGAAAGCGUGGGGAGCAAACAGGAUUAGAUACCCCAGUAGUC